UCCCAAUGUGCACAAGCCUUCACACUGUUAGAAUUAUAUAGACCUGUGCUUUCUCUCACAAGUUUCUUUUGCAUCUUUGUACCCUUGGCAACUAACCAGCAUUUGGCACACAGGAGGUAGUCGGUAAGUGCUAAAUUAAAUGAUUCUAUGUUUAGUAAGGAAAAUCAGCGCCCUUAACAAUGACAGUGCAAUCAGAUGGCCAAAUAACUAGCAGUGGAUUUACAGAGUGCGGUCAGUACGUCCUGUCCGGUGGACGACGGGGCAGGAGAGGCCUAGGCUCCUGCGGGGGCUCGCAGGCGUGGAGGGUGCGCGGCGGAGAAACCACCACGGAGACGAGGCCUUGAAUUUUCCAAGCCCUGUGGUUGGGGAGAAUUGCUUUAGCCCUCUUCCAUGUGUGGAGCCUAAGUGCCUUGAGAUAAUUCUGCUCUUCCAGCACCUUGACUGCGACCGGUGGCUCAGGGACAAGCAUGUGGUCCAGAAGGCUGGACAAACGCCUCCACGCAGAGGAGCUCUGUGCACAGCCAGACAGAAACAAGCUCAUCAGGACAAAGUUCACCCUUCAGAGGGAACCCUACGUAUUUCAAAGUAAGACAAGAAAACAUCCAAUUUGUGGCAGAUGUAUUUGGG
rnacentral:lncRNA from 1 species